rnacentral:tRNA from 1 species
UCCUCGAUGGUCUAGUGGUCAUGAUUUCCGCUUGUCAUUAGUAACCAUUUCAAGCGCGGGAGACCAGGGUUCGAUUCCCUGUCGGGGAG